UAGCUCAGCGGCAUAAGCACCUGCCUUGCAAGCAGGUGGUCCUGAGUUCGAUCCCAG
rnacentral:tRNA from 1 species